rnacentral:rRNA from 1 species
UACAGAGGUCUCAAGCGUUGUUCGGAUUCAUUGGGCGUAAAGGGUGCGUAGGUGGCGCCAUAAGUCAGGUGUGAAAUCUCGGGGCUCAACCCCGAAACUGCACUUGAUACUGUGGUGCUCGAGUACUGGAGAGGAGAUUGGAAUUUACGGUGUAGCAGUGAAAUGCGUAGAUAUCGUAAGGAAGACCAGUGGCGAAGGCGACUUACUGGACACAUAUUGACGCUGAGGUGCGAAAGCGUGGGGAGCAAACAGG